rnacentral:tRNA from 1 species
GGGUUUGUGGCUCAGAGGUAGUGUGCUUGCCUAGCCUGUGAGAGGCACUGGGUUCGAUCCUCAGCAACACUUA